AAGGGUUUUUUCGAUAACUAGCCACUUUACAAUUGCAUUUUAGAAAAAUAGCAAAUUUUUUUAUUUUUUUAAAAACUAGCCAAUAUUUUACCCGUUUGGACUAAAGUACCCUUAUCUACAAAAGUUUUCCUUUCUUCUACACAGCCGUUCGUUCGUGGGGGUGGGGUUUAUACAAAACUGUUCGUGGGGUUUCUCUAAACUCUUUGCAUCUCAUCGCCUCUCACUUUCAUUUUUUUGUAUUUUCUCAGAUCUCAAACUAAAAUCAGUCAAAUGGAAGAUGAUGACAUUGUAAUUGCGGUUUUAUACAAUGGAACAUUGGUACAAAAUGAUAGUGGUGAUUGGGAAUAUCGAAAUGGUAAAAAUGUAAUGGUUUCCGUCGGCAAGAGAUGCACAAAAUCAGAGUUAGAGGACUGUGGCAUAUUUACACUCAAGACCAUCGAAUUCUUACAUGCUAGAUUACCAUUGACAUUCACACAAGAUAACAUGGAGUUCUUUAGGAAGAAGUAUGCAUAUGAGGUUUACAACAAAGAACUUAGCAUAUGAGCUGCGUGGUGAUGCUUUUUUCUUUCCUUUUUUCAUGUUUAUAGAUGCAUAUUAUUUAUUAUAUUUGACUUUUAAUUGUAAAUAUAAUGGUGGCUUAUAAUGUUCAUUUAACAAAGAUAACAAUGUGGUAUUGAUGUAAUGAUAAGUAAUUGACCUUAUAGGAAAUGUGCCAUGUUUAUUUA